CCGGGGUGGAGUAAUGUCUGGGAAACUGCCUGAUGGAGGGGGAUAACUACUGGAAACGGUAGCUAAUACCGCAUAACGUCUUCGGACCAAAGUGGGGGACCUUCGGGCCUCACGCCAUCGGAUGUGCCCAGAUGGGAUUAGCUAGUAGGUGGGGUAAUGGCUCACCUAGGCGACGAUCCCUAGCUGGUCUGAGAGGAUGACCAGCCACACUGGAACUGAGACACGGUCCAG
rnacentral:rRNA from 1 species